rnacentral:tRNA from 1 species
GGAGAGAUGGCUGAGUGGUUGUGGUUGAAAGCACCGGUCUUGAAAACCGGCAUACGUUAAUAGCGUAUCUAGGGUUCAAAUCCCUAUCUCUCCGCCA